rnacentral:tRNA from 1 species
GGAGGUAUAGCUCAUUGGUAGAGCACAUGCUCAGCAUGCAUGAGGUCCUGGGUUCAAUCCCCAGAACCUCCA